UAGUUUUUAAGUGGCUGAAUAAAGGCCAAGAAAAGGAGGAAGAUUAAAAAAAAGAACUAGACCGCUCCUGCCAAGUAGCUAGCUUUCUCUUUUAUCCAGGAUGCACACAAAAAGGCUAAAAGACUUCAGAAAUUGAACAGCAGAUGGAGAAAAUCUGUGGAUCACUGGAUGAACUGAGGUCUACUGGAACCAUAUCUUAGAAGAUUUAUGCACUCGUGUUGGAGAUCUUCUGAUUACAAGGACUGGUCAUUCUUCAUACUUUUGAGCUGAAAGGAUUACCAACACACUUCUGCGUCAAUUCCCUACGUUGCCCUUAGGUGUGAACAUGUGGGUGUGUGGUGCCUUGCAAUGGACUGGUUUCACAUCCUGGGUGUAUUCCCACCUCAAGCCCAGUGUUCCUGGGAUACACUCCGGAUCCACUGCGACUCUGAUCAGGAAAAAGCGCUGCUUACCUGAAGUGAAUGAGUAAGAAUCAGAUCUUUUGCUAUGUCACAGUAAACAGAGGUGUAACAUGUGGUUUUAAAUCUUUACUUAUUUAAUUAUGUAUUGUUAGAAAGCUGAUUUGGUGUAUGUAUGUUGGAUGUAAGGUUUUCUUAAUAUCUAAAUUAGUUUUGGCUCAAAGGGACAUUUUUAUUUACAAAACUAUGCAAAAUAUGUUCUGUGAAGGGACCGUAAUGUAAAGCAUUAAAGAAUACAAACAUAUACUCUUAUUGAUGUGUACUUACA